rnacentral:rRNA from 1 species
GAGUUUGAUCCUGGCUCAGGAUAAACGCUGGCGGCGCACAUAAGACAUGCAAGUCGAACGGACUUAACCAUUAGUUUACUAUUGGAGCGGUUAGUGGCGGACUGGUGAGUAACACGUAAGCAACCUGCCUAUCAGAGGGGAACAACAGUUAGAAAUGACUGCUAAUACCGCAUAUGCCUUGAGUAUCGCAUGGUACAAGAGGGAAAGAAGCAAUUCGCUGAUAGAUGGGCUUGCGUCUGAUUAGAUAGUUGGUGUGGUAACGGCAUACCAAGUCUACGAUCAGUAGCCGGACUGAGAGGUUGAACGGCCACAUUGGGACUGAGAUACGGCCCAGACUCCUACGGGAGGCAGCAGUCGGGAAUAUUGCGCAAUGGAGGAAACUCUGACGCAGUGACGCCGCGUGCAGGAAGAAGGUUUUCGGAUUGUAAACUGCUUUAGACAGGGAAGAAACAAGACAGUACCUGUAGAAUAAGCUCCGGCUAACUACGUGCCAGCAGCCGCGGUAAUAC